CAGGAUGAACGCUAGCUACAGGCUUAACACAUGCAAGUCGAGGGGCAGCAUGAGAUUAGCUUGCUAAUCUUGAUGGCGACCGGCGCACGGGUGAGUAACGCGUAUCCAACCUUCCCCCUACUCAGGCAUAGCCCGGUGAAAACCGGAUUAACUCCUGAUAGUUUCACUAGAUGGCAUCUGACGGUGAAUAAAGCUUUGCGGUAAGGGAUGGGGAUGCGUCUGAUUAGCUUGUUGGCGGGUAACGGCCCACCAAGGCGACGAUCAGUAGGGGUUCUGAGAGGAAGGUCCCCCACAUUGGAACUGAGACACGGUCCAAGCUCCUACGGGAGGCAGCAGUGAGGAAUAUUGGUCAAUGGGCGCGAGCCUGGACCAGCCAAGUAGCGUGCAGGAAGACGGCCCUAUGGGUUGUAAACUGCUUUUGUAUGGGAAUAAAGUCAGGGACGUGUCCCUGUUUGCAUGUACCAUAAGGAUAAGGACCGGCUAAUUCCGUGCCAGCAGCCGC
rnacentral:rRNA from 1 species